GUGUGGCUCAAGUGGUACAGUGCCUGUCUGGCACGCACACGCCUCUGAGUUCAAACCCCAGCACUGCUCUGUUAAAAGAAAACUGCUAGGCAACGGUGGCUCCCACCUGCAAUCCCAGAGACUCAGACAGCUGAGAUCCAUAUGGUCGUGCUUCAAAGCCAGCCUGGACAGAGGAGUCUGGAAGAUUCCAUCUCCAAACUGACCAGAAACGAACGCCAGGCUACAGGCACGGCUCAAGUGAGCAAAUGAAGGAAGCACAAGGCCCCUGAGUUCAAAACCUGGCCCUGACGGGAAAAAAAAAGAUUAAAAUAGCUCUUAAGACUGAUGGUGGUCAUUGAGCACCACAUUAUGAAUAUAUUUAAUAGCACUAAGAAAUAUCUAAGAUGGUAAAUUUUGUACUAUAUGUAUUUUACCAUAAUAUUAACAAC